AUAUCAAUAAGGCGAGGAACAGAAACCAACAGGGAUUCCCCCAGUAGUGGCGAAUGAAGCGGGAAAAGCUCAAGUUUGAAAUCUGAUGCAUGUCAGAGUUGUAAGCUGAAGAGGUUUCGACCGAUGGUGCUCGGGCUCAAUUCCCUUGGGAUAGGGAGUCGUGGAGGGUGUGAACCCCGUUCAUGGCCCGCAAGCCUUCCAUCUUUGUGUCGUGUCCUCAAAGAGUCGGUUUGUUUGGGAUUGCAGACCGAAGUAGGUGGUAAACUCCACCUAAGGCUAAAUACGAUCGCGAGACCGAUAGCGCACAAGUA
rnacentral:rRNA from 1 species